CCUACGGGAGGCUGCGGUGAGGAAUAUUGGUCAAUGGGCGCGAGCCUGAACCAGCCAAGUAGCGUGAAGGAUGACUGCCCUACGGGUUGUAAACUUCUUUUAUAAAGGAAUAAAGUGAGGCACGUGUGCCUUUUUGUAUGUACUUUAUGAAUAAGGAUAGGCUAACUCCGUGCCAGCAGCCGCGGUAAUACGGAGGAUCCGAGCGUUUUCCGGAUUUAUUGGGUUUAAAGGGAGCGUAGAUGGGUUGUUAAGUCAGUUGUGAAAGUUUGCGGCUCAACCGUAAAAUUGCAAUUGAUACUGGCAGCCUUGAGUACAGUAGAGGUAGGCGGAAUUCGUGGUGUAGCGGUGAAAUGCGUAGAUAGCACGAAGAACUCCGAUUGCGAAGGCAGCCUGCUGGACUGUAACUGACGCUGAUGCUCGAAAGUGUGGGUAGCAAACAGGAUUAGAUACCCCAGUAGUC
rnacentral:rRNA from 1 species